rnacentral:rRNA from 1 species
UUUUCCGGUUGAUCCUGCCGGAGGCCAUUGCUAUCGGGGUCCGAUUUAGCCAUGCUAGUUGUACGAGUUCAGACUCGUAGCGAAUAGCUCCGUAACACGUGGCCAAACCACCCUCCAGAGAACGAUAACCUCGGGAAACUGAGGCUAAUAGUUCAUACCCGUCUCACGCUGGAAUGCCGAGACGUGCAAACGCUCACGCGCUGAAGGACGUGGCUGCGGCCGAUUAGGUAGACGGUGGGGUAACGGCCCACCGUGCCGAUAAUCGGUACGGGUUGUGAGAGCAAGAACCCGGAAACGGAAUCUGAGACAAGAUUCCGGGCCCUACGGGGCGCAGCAGGCGCGAAACCUUUACACUGCACGCACGUGCGAUAAGGGGACCCCGAGUGCGAGGGCAUACAGUCCUCGCUUUUCAGUACCGUAGGGAGGUACUGGAAUAAGAGCUGGGCAAGACCGGUGCCAGCCGCCGCGGUAAUACCGGCAGCUCGAGUGAUGGCCGAUCUUAUUGGGCCUAAAGCGUCCGUAGCCGGCCACGCAAGUUCAUCGGGAAAUCCGCCAGCCCAACUGGCGGGCGUCCGGUGAAAACUGCCUGGCUAGGGACCGGAAGACCCGAAGGGUACGUCUUGGGUAGGAGUGAAAUCCUGUAAUCCUGGACGGACCACCGAUAGCGAAAGCACUUCGGGAAGACGGAUCCGACGGUGAGGGACGAAAGCCAGGGUCUCGAACCGGAUUAGAUACCCGGGUAGUCCUGGCCGUAAACGAUGUCUGCUAGGU